UACUGCAGUCGAGCGCGGGAGCAGACUGAAUCCUUCGGGAGGAUGUCUGUGGAACGAGCGGCGGACGGGUGAGUAACACGUGGGCAACCUGCCUGUAAGACUGGGAUAACUCCGGGAAACCGGGGCUAAUACCGGAUAACUCAACGAACCGCAUGGUUCGGUGUUAAAAGAUGGCUUCUGCUAUUACUUACAGAUGGGCCCGCGGCGCAUUAGCUAGUUGGUGAGGUAACGGCUCACCAAGGCCACGAUGCGUAGCCGACCUGAGAGGGUGAUCGGCCACACUGGGACUGAGACACGGCCCAGACUCCUACGGGAGGCAGCAGUAGGGAAUCAUCCGCAAUGGACGAAAGUCUGACGGUGCAACGCCGCGUGAGUGAUGAAGGUUUUCGGAUCGUAAAACUCUGUUGUUAGGGAAGAACACGUGCUGUUCGAAUAGGGCAGUGCCUUGACGGUACCUAACCAGAAAGCCACGGCUAACUACGUGCC
rnacentral:rRNA from 2 species